ACAAGUGAAUCAACAGACUAGGUCAGGAUGUUUCCACAGUUUCCAUGAAACCCUCACUACUAUGCUUAGCAGAUCUUCCUGCUGUCCGAAAUGAAACACAAUAACAUCAGCUUGAUGACCUCACAUUAGCCCUCAACCUCGCUGACACCCCGUCCGCCAGACCACUCUGAUCAUGUAGUGGCUGUGACCGCUGCUGGAGUUUCUCAGGGAAGCUGAGUGUGACAGUGGCUGAGGUUUGCUAACCUUCUUGUUAACCCUCUUUGUGUGAGAAAACCAUGCCGUACCUAAAGCAUCAUCAUCAGCAGUUCAUUUGCUGGUACUCAGGGCAUGUGUGAUUACCGACCGGCAGCGGUGAGGAGGGCUCGGGCCCUCUCUGAGUGAUUACUAAUUACAGUUCAGACUGAGAGGGCGGCUGCUAGUGGAGGAAACCGACCCCAGCCAGAACACGACGACACAUUAAAAGUUCACUGCAGAAGGAAAACACUCUUUAGUUUUUAUGUGGUGUGAAAGCAGAAGAGUAAUGGAUGGGUUCAGUUUGAGUGUGAAUCUUAAUUAAAUUAGCAACACUCCACAGGAAGUGGAUUGGAAGAGGAAUUUACUUUAAAGGCACAAUAUGUAAGAUUUAUUUUUGGAUUCAAAUAUCUAAAAACCACUAGAACAAUGUUAUAUAUUUUGUUGACUUGUAUACUUACAGUAUCCCAAGAAUGUUUAAAUCCAGAGAAAUAAGCAAUUUUAACCAGGACACAACAGGUCCGUGCGUCGCCUAUCAAUGACAUUAUACCCACAUUACCUUCGAUUUCCCGUUUUAUUUUGUAGAAACCAUGGAAAAACCAAAGAUGCUUUAAUAUAUUAUGUGUUUUAUUAGACAGGUGAGCAACUGUUUGGAUAUAUUCAUCAACAGAAAACGUAUCGUUAUAUAGCUCAAAACGGUCUUUUUGUUCAAAUCUCGAGAGUGGCACUUUAACAACUUUCAACACACAAAUGUAUCUAAUAUGAUAAAACAGCGCUGCAUUACCCCCUAUAUGCAUGGCUGGAAAAUAUACAUCUGUGCCAUAAUAAAAGCUCCACUGCUCUUGAGCCGCAUGUCGCGCUCGUAUAUCAUUAGCAAUUGCUCCAGCCACCUCGUUCCGCUCCAACGGCUUUCAGCCACACCCUGCUUCAUACUACUGCAAUGUUAAUAAAUCUUUAAUACAUUAGCUCAUCCAUGAAUAUGAUU